rnacentral:rRNA from 1 species
AUUGAACGCUGGCGGCAGGCCUAACACAUGCAAGUCGAACGCGUGGCGGACGGGUGAGAAAUGUCUGGGAAACUGCCCGAUGUAGGGGGAUAUCUCCUGGAAACGGUUGCUAAUACCGCAUACUCUCGGAUGUGCCCAGAUGUGAUUAGCUGGUAGGUGGGGUAACGGCUCACCUAGGCGCCGCUCCCUAGCUGGUCUGAGAGGAUGACCAGCCACACUGGAACUGAGACACGGUCCAGACUCCUACGGGAGGCAGCAGUGGGGAAUAUUGCACAAUGGGCGCAAGCCUGAUGCAGCCAUGCCGCGUGUAUGAAGAAGGCCUUCGGGUUGUAAAGUACUUUCAGCGGGGAGGCGUUACCCGCAGAAGAAGCACCGGCUAACUCCGUGCCAGCAGCCGCGGUAAUUC